rnacentral:lncRNA from 1 species
AUGAACAAAAACGCUGCCGGGCUGCUGAGACCACACAAGAACCGCUGACUCCCUGGUGUUGUGAGGGAGUAGUAGCCAGCCCUGUUCCUGAGAUGAACAACGAUAGCAGCGGCCUGAGACACACACCAGAACGCUGACUCCCUGGUGUGUGAGGGGAGUAGCCAGCCCUGUUCCUGAGAUGAACAACGAUGCGGGCCUGGACGCACACAGAACCGCUGACCCGCUCCACAUCCAUGGCUCCAACUGUCAGCAUACAUACUCACCCAGCACCAAGGGACGCUGUCUUCUAGGACUGACAACUCAUCUGAUGUGUUUCUCUCUGUUCAAGGACAUUUUCAAUUAAGUUUCUACAAAUGUAAAACAUGUCAUGUGUUGUCAACCAUUUUUACUCUAAUAAAUGUUGCCAUACGGGCCAAACAUCCUGUUGUGGAGCGUGAUGUCCUGUUUCCUUUCCUUGUUGCUUUCUGAGCAAAACGCCUCAUCACCAUCCCUAACAAAACGCCUCAUCACCAGCCAUACAAAACGCCUCCUCACCAGCCUACAAAAAGCCCAUCCAGCAUCCAAAACGCUCAUCACCAGCCAUACAAAACACUCAUCCCAGCGCUACACAACACCUCAUCACCAGCCAUACAAAACACCUCAUCACCAGCCAUACAAAACGCCUCAUCACCAGCCAUACAAAACGCCUCAUCACCAGCCAUACAAAACACCUCAUCACCAGCCAUACAAAACACCUCAUCACCAGCCAUACAAAACACCUCAUCACCAGCCAUACAAAAAACGCCUCAUCACCACCAUACAAACGCUCAUCACCAGCCCAUCCAAAACGCCUCAUCACCAGCCAUACAAAACCGCUCAUACCAGCCAUACAAAACGCCUCAUCACAAAGGGCAUUUAG